UACGGGGGUGCAAGCGUUAAUCGGAAUUACUGGGCGUAAAGGGUGCGUAGGUGGUUAAGUAAGUUAUCUGUGAAAUCCCUGGGCUCAACCUGGGCAGGUCAGAUAAAACUGCAUAACUCGAGUAUGGGAGAGGGUAGUGGAAUUUCCGGUGUAGCGGUGAAAUGCGUAGAGAUCGGAAGGAACACCAGUGGCGAAGGCGGCUACCUGGCCUAAUACUGACACUGAGGCACGAAAGCGUGGGGAGCAAACAGGAUUAGAACGUACC
rnacentral:rRNA from 1 species